CAACUUUCAACAAUGGAUCUCUUGGUUCUGGCAUCGAUGAAGAACGCAGCGAAAUGCGAUAAGUAGUGUGAAUUGCAGAAUUCAGUGAAUCAUCGAAUCUUUGAACGCACAUUGCGCCCCUUGGUAUUCCAUGGGGCAUGCCUGUUCGAGCGUCAUCU
rnacentral:rRNA from 8 species